rnacentral:rRNA from 1 species
CCUACGGGAGGCAGCAGUGAGGAAUAUUGGUCAAUGGGCUUACGCCUGAACCAGCCAAGUCGCGUGAGGGAAGACUGCCCUAUGGGUUGUAAACCUCUUUUGUCAGGGAGCAAUUGGCGCUACGUGUAGCGUGAUCGAGAGUACCUGAAGAAAAAGCAUCGGCUAACUGCGUCCCAGCAGCCGCGGUUAUACGGAGGAUGCGAGCGGUAUCCGGAUGUAUGGGGUUGAAAGGGCGCGUAGGCGGAUUGCCAAGACAGCGGUAAAAUCGCGGGGCGCAACCCCGCUCCGCCGUUGAAACUGGCGAUAUGGAGUGGGCGAGAGGUAUGCGGAAUGCGAGGUGUAGCGGUGAAAUGCAUAGAUA